rnacentral:rRNA from 1 species
UACAGAGGUCCCAAGCGUUGUUCGGAUUCAUUGGGCGUAAAGGGUGCGUAGGCUGCGUCAUAAGUCGGAUGUGAAAUCCCGGGGCUCAACCCUUGAACUGCAUUCGAUACUGUGGUGCUAGAGGACUCUAGAGGAAAUUGGAAUUCACGGUGUAGCAGUGAAAUGCGUAGAUAUCGUGAGGAAGACCAGUGGCGAAGGCGGAUUUCUGGAGAGUUCCUGACGCUGAGGCACGAAGGCCAGGGGAGCAAACGGG